rnacentral:rRNA from 1 species
GACGAACGCUGGCGGCGUGCUUAACACAUGCAUGUCGAACGGAAAGGCCCUGCUUUUGUGGGGUGCUCGAGUGGCGAACGGGUGAGUAACACGUGAGUAACCUGCCCUUGACUUUGGGAUAACUUCAGGAAACUGGGGCUAAUACCGGAUAGGAGCUCCUGCUGCAUGGUGGGGGUUGGAAAGUUUCGGCGGUUGGGGAUGGACUCGCGGCUUAUCAGCUUGUUGGUGGGGUAGUGGCUUACCAAGGCUUUGACGGGUAGCCGGCCUGAGAGGGUGACCGGCCACAUUGGGACUGAGAUACGGCCCAGACUCCUACGGGAGGCAGCAGUGGGGAAUAUUGCACAAUGGGCGGAAGCCUGAUGCGGCAACGCCGCGUGCGGGAUGACGGCCUUCGGGUUGUAAACCGCUUUCGCCUGUGACGAAGCGUGAGUGACGGUAAUGGGUAAAGAAGCACCGGCUAACUACGUG